CAGCUACCUCUCAUAUCCCAUUCUACAGGCAUUAAUAACAAUUUAGGGUAAGCGCCGAUGACCGCACAUUACGGGCCGGAGAUGAACUGCGCGCCUGAAGGAAAAGUAUUGACAGGCGGAUAAAUGGCCUUCGGUUUCAUUCCUUCUGUAAGUAAUAGCGUAACUAAUACUUCGGGUAAAAACAAACCAUCCAUCUUCUUUAUUGGAUUAGGAGCCGACUGAAAGUAACACGGCUCUGGGUCCCUUCCAAUACAAUGACAAGCUGCGGAACCGGAGGAUUGUACAGCACAGUGCACACUGCAGGGCAGGACAACGACCCCAGACAUACAGCCAAAGAACUAUCUUCCAAGAAGUCCUGGAAGUGAUGAUAUGGCCCCAAUGAUCCCUGAUCUCAACAUCAUCCAGUCUGUCUGGGAUUACAUGGAAAGACAGAAGGUCUUGAGCAAGCCUACAUCCACAGAAGAUCGGUGGUUAGUUGUUCUCCAAGAUGUCUGAAACAACCUCCCUGCUCCCUGUCUGCAAAUAUAUCCAGAAGAACUGAUGCUGAAGGCAAAGGGCGGUCAGACCAGAUAUUGAAUGAAUUUACAUUUCUCUUAUCUUUAUUAACUUUGGAUUCAAACUGAUAAACUAUUAACGCUUCUAUUUUAAAACAUUCUUACUUUGUAGCAUUGUUCCCACAUCUGACUAAAGCUUUUGCACAGUACUGUAUUUUAUACCUCCAGUGGUACCUAUUAUACCUCAUCUGGCCAAGCUGUGGCGGAAGGAGUAAUCAGCUCAGUUAAUUUAUCAGUCAUUAUCAUCAUUUCUGGAGAUAUCUGAUUAGCAUCCUUCCACGUGCAGCCACUUAAAUGGCAUCUGUCAGCAGUUUUGUACCUAUGACACUGGCUGACCUGUUACAUGUGCGCUUGGCAGCUGAAGACACCUGUGUUGGUCCCUUCUUCAUAUAUGCCGGCAUUGCUAAGAAAAAUUAUGUUUUAAUUCAUGCAAAUAAGCCUCUAGGAGCAACGGGGGGCGUUGCCGUUACACCUAGAGGCUCAGCUCUCUCUGCAACUGCCGCAGCCUCUGUACUUUUAUUGACAGGGCCAGGCGGUAAAAAGUUAUCACACCUGGCCCUAUGAAUCAAAGUGCAGAGGACGCGGCAGUUGCAGAGAGAACAGAGUCUCUAGGUGUAAUGGUAACGCCCCCGUUGCUCCUAAAGGCUCAUUUGCAUAUAU